rnacentral:rRNA from 1 species
GACGAACGCUGGCGGCGUGCUUAACACAUGCAAGUCGAACGGAAAGGCCCUGCUUUUGUGGGGUGCUCGAGUGGCGAACGGGUGAGUAACACGUGAGUAACCUGCCCUUGACUUUGGGAUAACUUCAGGAAACUGGGGCUAAUACCGGAUAGGAGCUCCUGCUGCAUGGUGGGGGUUGGAAAGUUUCGGCGGUUGGGGAUGGACUCGCGGCUUAUCAGCUUGUUGGUGGGGUAGUGGCUUACCAAGGCUUUGACGGGUAGCCGGCCUGAGAGGGUGACCGGCCAAAUUGGGACUGAGAUACGGCCCAGACUCCUACGGGAGGCAGCAGUGGGGAAUAUUGCACAAUGGGCGGAAGCCUGAUGCAGCAACGCCGCGUGCGGGAUGACGGCCUUCGGGUUGUAAACCGCUUUCGCAUGUGACGAAGCGUGAGUGACGGUAAUGGGUAAAGAAGCACCGGCUAACUACGUG